rnacentral:rRNA from 1 species
GAUGAACGCUGGCGGCGUGCCUAAUACAUGCAAGUCGAGCGAACAGACGAGGAGCUUGCUCCUCUGACGUUAGCGGCGGACGGGUGAGUAACACGUGGAUAACCUACCUAUAAGACUGGGAUAACUUCGGGAAACCGGAGCUAAUACCGGAUAAUAUAUUGAACCGCAUGGUUCAAUAGUGAAAGACGGUUUUGCUGUCACUUAUAGAUGGAUCCGCGCCGCAUUAGCUAGUUGGUAAGGUAACGGCUUACCAAGGCAACGAUGCGUAGCUGACCUGAGAGGGUGAUCGGCCGCACUGGAACUGAGACACGGUCCAGACUCCUACGGGAGGCAGCAGUAGGGAAUCUUCCGCAAAGGGCGAAAGCCUGACGGAGCAACGCCGCGUGAGUGAUGAAGGUCUUCGGAUCGUAAAACUCUGUUAUUAGGGAAGAACAAAUGUGUAAGUAACUAUGCACGUCUUGACGGUACCUAAUCAGAAAGCCACGGCUAACUACGUG